UCAAUGGCCUAACGGCUGAACCGGUAACUUGGGAAAAUGAAUAUUGUUUAUCAAAUAAAAUUUUGUCUAUAUAUUGAUAAUGACAAUAUAUAUAAACAGUCUUGACUAAUUGCGUGCCAGCCGUCGCGGUAAUACGUAAGAGGCAAGCAUUAUUCAUCUUUAUUAGGUGUAAAGGGUACUCAGACUGUCAAAUUGACCUUGAUUAAGGUAAAUAAGUAUUUGACUAGAGUUUAAUAUAGGAAGAUAGUACUUUUAAGUGUAGAGAUUAAAUUCUGUAAUACUAUGGGGACUGGUUAAGGCGAAGGCAAUCUUCUAUGUAAAAACUGACGUUAAAGGACGAAGGCUUGGAGAGUAAAUAGGAUUAGAUACCCUGGUAACCCUAGCAGAAAAUGAUGAGUGCCAUAAGUUAGAUUUUCGAAUUUAGUUUAUAAACGAAAUUGAAAGCAUUCCACCUCAAGAGUAUAGUGGCAACACCGGAACUGAAAUCACUAGGCCGUUUCUAACACCAGUAGUGAAGUAUGUUAUUUAAUUCGAUGAUCCGCGAAAAACCUUACCACAAUUGGAAUACUUGAUAAUUAGUAAUAAAAUUACUUUUAUUACUUAAAAAUUGAGCACAAAUAAUACAGGUGUUGCACGGUUGUUUUCAGUUUAUGUUGUGAAACCGUGGAGUUUUUUCACGUAAUAAACAAAAUCCCUAUCUCUAUUUAUUUAUUAAUAGAGAAUUUUUAUCUAGUCUCAUAGUUUAGAUAUAAUAAAAAAAAGGGAGAAAGACAAAUCAUCAUGGCCCUAA
rnacentral:rRNA from 1 species